ACUUAAUUGCCUGUCCCACUUCUGAACAGGAUCUUCUAACUGGUCAUUUUCAAUAACACUGAAACACAGGAAACAGCGUGUUCCCACACUGCAGACCAACCACUACGUCACACCAGCAACUGAUAGGAAACACUCCCUGCAGCUGCCCCAGCAGCUCCACCCCAUGAGCACAUGCAGACCAGCUCACCCCAGGCUCAAGGGGACAGCAAAGAGCCCUGAGAAUCCUAAAGCCUAGCCAAGGGGACCUGGCAGGAUUUCAUACAGAUGUGCAUGUCCCAAGCUGCAGGUGGAAGCAAACAGCAGGCUGGACAGCCCAUUAUCAUCAGCCAAGCCUCCCACUUCCCCUCCUACUCCCAAGGAAGGGAGGAAGCAUCUUAAGCAGGACAACUCCUGCUGAAGGCUGUGUCCUCCCUGGUGGAAGGAACGGGAAUGAGCAGGAGCAGAAGCAGCAUGAGGUGAAUCAGGAAGCAAGUCUAUAAGGGAUAUGGAAACAGCCUGAAGAUCCUUUCACUGCAAGACAGACAGAGCUGAGCGGAACCCAGAUGUAAUUAAGACAUAGCAUCACGUGCAGCUUUCAAGAAGAAGGGGAGGAAAUGCACUGGCCAUUAUGUAGAGACUACAGAAACGAAGGAAGAGUCACGCUAAUGAAGACAGGAAGGAUGAUGAACUCAGACUCACAGAGAUGAGAAAGUGAAUAAAAGCACCAGACUGAAACACAGCAGCAAUUUUAUUCCAGCAGCAAUUUUCUGAAACCGAAAUUGAAAUUAAAAAUACAUUUAUAAUGAACAGCCAGCAACAUCCACAGCCCAGCAGCAUGCGCAUGGAGAACAGAGGAUCAGUCAUCAGCGAGAAUUUUACCAUCUGGCUGCUAUUGUUAUCAUUAUUAUGGAAAUGUUUUUACUGUCAGAGGGAAGUACCAGCAGUGGCACUAUCUGAGCACAACAUCAAGAGGCAGCAAGGCAAAUUUGCGUGCCGGGAGUAGAGAAGCGUCUCCAUGCCAGAACAGAAACUCUGGUCCAGCAUUUCCCAUUCAUCUCGUUGCCCUUGUCUAGGUAUUGCCUGCAUAAGUACAUUCAGAUGUCAUUCAUCUUAGAAGUACUUUUCUUUUUUCCCAAAGCUGCUUCCUGCUGCAAUCCUGGAGCAGAAACAGGUUGAUUGUUUAAAAUAGUUUUACAAUCAUGUUAACCGGUAGAUAGAUCGAUCCAUCAAUCUGCCAUUUGUCUUUCUUCAGACAGACAUCACGUUGUUGGGCAACCUGCAGUU
ensembl:lncRNA